rnacentral:lncRNA from 1 species
UGGCAGUGUGUUAGUUUGUUGGCAGUGGAAUACUGUGCUUGAGUGAAAAAAAUGACGAGAGUUGCUGCAGAAUGACUUGUGUGUAUAAAUUGAUUUUGUAGACGAAGUUUUACCCAAGUUUCGCUCUGAUACCAAUUUGAUGUAGGGUGAAUGAUUCAACAGCUAAAACAAGAAGAGAUGGUAGAAAGGGAAAGAGGAAGGAGAACAGAGACAGUGAGCAGAGAGGCAAACGGCUGAAGCCAACGUUAUAAUUUAAUCAAAAUUCAUCAACUGAGAAAUUACAUACCAAUGAUAGGUUUAAAUAAUGAAAACCUAGAAAUAUAGGGCCAAGCCCAUUAUUCAAGUCCUAAUUAAAAUACGUAAACUUAAAUAAAAGUCCAACUGAAACAAUAAUAAAAGUCCAACUAAAAUACUGAAACAAUAAUAAAAGUCCAACUAUAAAG